UACUGGGAGUGAUCCUGUAACCAGCAGGAGAGCGCAGACAUAUUUUCAAUGCAUCUGUAUCCAUAUCUCCCAAAUGGGCUGCUGGAUCACACGAAGUCCAAUCUUGCUUUUUGAUGGGGGCCCCGUUGCUUUCCAUACUGGCUGUGCUAAUUAAUGCACACCCCGUCCCCAGUGUAUGAGGGUCCCCUUGCUCCUGCGGCAGAGCUCAUUAUCACUGUCCGUGUGAUGCUGGCCACUCUGGCAGAUGUGAAGUGAGGCAUCAUUUCUGUUUUAUUUUGCAUUUCCUGAUGACUAAUGAUUCACAUACCAUUUGUAUUUGUUUUUUUUUAGAAAUGUCCUUUCAGGUUCCUUGUCUAAUUUUAAGCUGUGUUUUUCCAUUUUAUUGUUUGAAUUUAGUCCGUGUUUUGGAUAUUAAUCUUCAUUAGGUACAUAGUUGCUCAGUAGUUUCUUUUGGCAGCGGGCCUACAUCACAUGUUCUGGUCAAGAAAGCAAUCUCUGUAGUUGAUACUGAAAGUGAGGCCCAGGAGAAGGUGGCUGAGGAGUGGAAGACAUUGCGUUGACCUCAGGCAUCAAGGUGGAGCAGAGGACGGAGGAGGGAGAUGGUGGAGCUGAAAUGCAGCGUCACCCCUGAAACAGAGGAGCCAGGGAGCGACAACACUGUGAGGCUGGAGAAACCCAAGAAAACGGCUGCCGUCUUUACAAAGAAGAUACUGUCGAGUUCAUGGUUCUCAACACCUUGCUCUGCCGCGCUCAUAGGAAUGAGCAGAUGGACAAAGAGAGGGGCUCCCAGCUAAGAACCCACCUUGCAUCUCCCAAGAGACUUUGGACUUGGACUUUUUACUAAUGCUGGAACUGUGAAAACUCUGGCAACUCUUAGAGAUGGAGUCAAUACAUUUUGCAUAAAGAGAUGGACACAAAUCUUUUUGGGACCCCAGGGAAGAAUAUUACGGCUUAGACCUAGGAUGUUCCCCCAAGUUCUCAUGUGUUUAGAAGUUGAUUGGAUCAUGUGCUGCAUUCUCAUUAGCGGUUUAGUCUACUGAUGAGUUCAUAGCUGACUUGCUGUUGGAACACAGGAGUCUGGUUAGCGUCCGGUCACUAGGGAUGUGACCCAGAAAGGUAUAUUUUCUCUCCUCCUCCUCUCUUGCUCUCUGUUUCCUGAUCAUCUUGACCAAAGCAGCUUUUUUUGCCACCAAGCUCCUCUGUCAUGACAUUUCUGCCUUGGAGCCAGAUAAUCAUGGACUGAAAUCUCUCAAAACUGAACGAAAUUGAACAUAUCCUCCUUAAAGUUGGGGAUGUCACCAAGAAACUAAGACACUACUUAAUAAAUUCUUGCUGCUACAGUUAUUAAUUUUUAUUAUAUUAGAACAAAUUAACUGCUUACUUUAAAAUUUCAGUGAAUUAGUAAUAUUUAUUUUUCAUUAACAUAGUCUAGUGUAGAUGACUUCAAUCAGGUGGUUCUCUUCAUGACCAAAGGACUCAGGGAUGCUACCUUUUGUUUUGUGGUGCCUUUGUCUUCAACAGAUGGUCUUUAAGAUUUCUGAAGAGAAGUUAGGGCUGCCUUAACAUGACUUGGAAGCAGUUCUUUGUUAAGAACUAAAACAGCCUAGAUAGAUCCUAGGGGGCUGGAAUAGACAACUUUGCCAUGUGCUCAGGUAGAAAUGUGGUGAGUGAAUUAUGCUAGUCUUCACCACAGGAUUAUUUUUUUUUUUGCUGUUAUAAUUAAUAUUAUGUAUUGCAAAGGCAGUCAUUUUUCUAAAUGAAAUAUGGCCUUUAACAAUGCUCACUGUCAUAAUUCCAGGAAAUCAUUUCUGGGAGAUACAAACUUUACAUAUAGGUUUGAGGUGU